UACGUAGGGUGCGAGCGUUAAUCGGAAUUACUGGGCGUAAAGCGUGCGCAGGCGGUUGUGCAAGACAGGCGUGAAAUCCCCGGGCUCAACCUGGGAAUGGCGCUUGUGACUGCACGGCUGGAGUGCGGCAGAGGGGGAUGGAAUUCCGCGUGUAGCAGUGAAAUGCGUAGAUAUGCGGAGGAACACCGAUGGCGAAGGCAAUCCCCUGGGCCUGCACUGACGCUCAUGCACGAAAGCGUGGGGAGCGAAACAAGGAUUAGAUACC
rnacentral:rRNA from 1 species